AGGGUUUGAUCAUGGCUCAGGAUGAACGCUGGCGGCGUGCCUAACACAUGCAAGUCGAACGGAGCGAGAUUUCUUCGGAGGCCUCGCUUAGUGGCGGACGGGUGAGUAACGCGUGGGUAACCUGCCCCAUACAGGGGGAUAGCAGCUGGAAACGGCUGAUAAUACCGCAUAAGCGCACAGUGCCGCAUGGCACAGUGUGAAAAACUCCGGUGGUAUGGGAUGGACCCGCGUCUGAUUAGCUGGUUGGUGAGGUAACGGCCCACCAAGGCGACGAUCAGUAGCCGGCCUGAGAGGGUGGACGGCCACAUUGGGACUGAGACACGGCCCAA
rnacentral:rRNA from 1 species